rnacentral:rRNA from 1 species
UACGUAGGGGGCAAGCGUUGUCCGGAAUCAUUGGGCGUAAAGAGCGUGUAGGCGGCUUGGCAAGUCUGGUGUGAAAUCUUGCGGCUCAACCGCAAGCGGUCACUGGAAACUGCCUCGCUAGAGUCCGGAAGAGGAGAGCGGAAUUCCUGGUGUAGCGGUGGAAUGCGCAGAUAUCAGGAAGAACACCCCGUGGCGAAGGCGGCUAUCUGGAUAGAA